rnacentral:misc_RNA from 1 species
GAUGAAGAACGCAGCGAAAUGCGAUACGUAGUGUGAAUUGCAGAAUUCCGCGAAUCAUCGAGUUUUUGAACGCAAGUUGCGCCCGAGGCUUGUCCGAGGGCAUUUCCGCUAGAGCGUCACCGCGCCCCCCCCACCACGACUCCCUUGGGAGUUCUGAGUGGAACUGGCCGUCCCGGCAAUCGGGUCGGCUGAAAUGGAGGGAAUUCGGCCGCCGUGGCAUCACUCGCCCCGCGAUCAGGUGUGAUCUCGAAAGGGGUCUUCCAAGUGCGGGGCUCCCAGUGUGAGCCCCCGAGUGCGCGUGCCGGAGUGUUCCGCAGCAGGCUACCUUUCAUGGGUAAUGGCCGCCCCCACACGGAGGCAGCCAACAAAGCGAGAGAAGGUAACGCAUCGGACCUCUAAUCGGAAAAGACUACCCGCCGAGUUUAAGCAUAUCAAUAAGCGGAGGA